rnacentral:lncRNA from 1 species
ACAGCAGCGGUGGCCCCAAUGUCCAAGAGUUGGUUGGCAUUUGCUCUUGCUUGAUCGCCUCGGUUGGUAAUGUGACAAACCAUGACAGGGAGUGCCCUGUCAGCCGAACCCCCGUUGCGGAGGUUAUAGAAGCUUCGUGCCAUGUCGUAGGGUGGGCGUUGCCCUUGUUCCCUGCUCCAUUGCUUCAGAUCCAUAGCCCAGCGGGGCGUCGGGCCCUGAAAGUCUGGUCGGGGAAUAGCGGCUCCUCGGGGAGGGUUGUAGACCUCAAGCUCCGUGUCUGUGCUCCCACUAUCUCCUUCCUCUUCGGAUCCUUCGUCUGGUUCUUCCUCAGGAUCCUCUUCGGAUUCCUCUUCUGGUUCUUCCUCGGGAAUUUCCUCUUCGGAAUCCUCUUCUGGGUCGUCCUCGAUCCAGCCUCCAUUUCCUUGGUUGGGAUAGUAGGGGUCCCCGGUAAUGUGAAAUCCUGCCAUUUUGUCUGGUCGAGAAGUAGUGGUAAGAAAACUUGGGAGAAAAGUAAUUUUUGAUAAGAAAAUAUUUAUUUGACGUUUUCCUAACUUUAACUAAGUAUUGAGGUUUGCACGAUUUUUGUAGCUCUUAUGGUUCUAUAAAAUACUCCUAUAGUAUUACAAAUUUGUAAGUUUGAUUCUAGUAAUUUCUUUGGUAAGUUUUUGACUUGUUACUUACUACGACCAAUCCUCGACAUACGUUNUUCUUUGCCUUAGGGAAAUCCCUCUUGAAGUGACCAGUUUCCCCACACCCAUAACAUGCCUGGCUUACUCCAGUACCAGGAACUUGGGUGAUUGGUCGCGUCGGUGCCUUACAGAAACAGGCAGUGUGCCCUUUCCUAUCGCAGUUUUUACAGUGCAUCUCCCGGCAAUUACCGUGGUGAUGGUAAUUGCAUUUGUUGCACUUUGGCAGGUUCCCAGCAUAUUGCUUCGUUGGUGCGAGGGUAGCGGGAAUAACAGUGGGGGCAGUAGCGGCAUGGACCGCCACUAUUUGUUUCUUUGAAGGUUCUUGCGAAGUUUGACCUUUUCUCAUGUUCCAAAAUUUCUUCUUGUUGUUUUUGUUGGCAUUGUUGUCAUUGUUGUUGCUUCCUUUGGUUGGUUCUGGGACAACGGUUGUGACACUUUGGCAGACCCCAUGGUAAACGAGAGAUUGCGCCAGUUCCUUGGCGCUAUCGAACGUUGUGGGUUUGGAGGCUAGCACACUUCCUCGAAGCCGGGGUGACAGCCCCCGGAUAUACCUUUCCACGUUUUGGCUUUCCAUAAUCAUCAUUCCUGGGCAAAGUAUUAUCAAGUCACAGAAUCUAUUUGUAUAGCCUGUGAUGUCUGAGCCUACCAUCGUAAGGGCCCAAAGCUCCUGCUCGAGCUUCUGAAUCUCGCCUCUUGGGCAGUACUAUCGUAGUAGCAUUCGUUUCAGGUUCUCCCAAUCCAUAGAGUUUGCCACCACCAGAGUUAGUGACUUGACGUGGCCAUUCUACCAUGUUAGGGUUCGUUCGGAGAAAGUACAGGCGGCAAAUUUUACUUUGCUUUCUUCGGGGCAUGAGCAUAUCUCGAACACAACUUCCGUUUUCUCUAUCCACUGGGAUAGAGCCAUCACUCCCCCAGCUCCAUUAAAGGGGAUGGGUUUGCUAUUGGAGAAGUCUUUGUAAGUACAUUCCCCGGUACAACCUUGGGUUUGGCCAUUUGUAAAGCUGUUUAUCCCUCCUCCUGAUCCUUUGUUACUCAUUUGUGUCAUUGUUGCAGUUACAGCGGUUGUUACAGCAGCCUAAAAGGUAGCAGCAUCCAUAGUUGGAGGGGGUGGUAGAGGUGGUUCUGGCGCUUCGUUUGUAUUGAAACGUCGAGGAUUCCUUCUUGGUGGCAUGAUUCUGCCACAAUUUAAGAGACGAAUGCUUGAUAAGUCAGCUAAAAUGAUUAAGGGAGGUUCAUACAUUUUGGUUCUGAACAUUUCUGGUUUUUUGUAUGUUAACGGAAAUUUUCAAAAGAAAACAAGCGUAUGAAUAAUGGGAUACUCAAGGAAGUAAUAAAUGCGUUUCAAUUACAUUGAUAUUAGUAUAUGAUACAACGAUCAGGAAAAUUUUACCUUUAAUAGGUCUAGGUUACAUCAAUGAAAAUGGGAAACUUUGACAGCAUUCCGGCCUCCGAAUUGUGUACUCACAAUUCGUCGGGUUUACAUUUAUACAAGAAAAGGUAACACCAACAUUUAGCCGAUAGAUAUAAAUAUAGCGUUAGAAGUACGCGUUCUAUUCCGAGCGGGUAGGACGCUGCAGACCAUGGUAGGUAGUUGUGGAAGUCUUAGCUCGGGCUACUUGACGUUCAGCCACGAUGAUAUGCCUUUCCAUUGCGGCUGGUUGCUCACGGAACUCCCUUACUUCGGCUCUAGUAGCAGUAAUUUAUUUCUGAAGCGAAAAGGUGUGCUCUAUUGUCCGAUCGUGUUCUUCGUCCAGACGACGAAGAUGUACCGCAGUGACAGCAGCGGUGGCCCCAAUGUCCAAGAGUUGGUUGGCAUUUGCUCUUGCUUGAUCGCCUCGGUUGGUAAUGUGACAAACCAUGACAGGGAGUGCCCUGUCAGCCGAACCCCCGUUGCGGAGGUUAUAGAAGCUUCGUGCCAUGUCGUAGGGUGGGCGUUGCCCUUGUUCCCUGCUCCAUUGCUUCAGAUCCAUAGCCCAGCGGGGCGUCGGGCCCUGAAAGUCUGGUCGGGGAAUAGCGGCUCCUCGGGGAGGGUUGUAGACCUCAAGCUCCGUGUCUGUGCUCCCACUAUCUCCUUCCUCUUCGGAUCCUUCGUCUGGUUCUUCCUCAGGAUCCUCUUCGGAUUCCUCUUCUGGUUCUUCCUCGGGAAUUUCCUCUUCGGAAUCCUCUUCUGGGUCGUCCUCGAUCCAGCCUCCAUUUCCUUGGUUGGGAUAGUAGGGGUCCCC